GACGGAGGAUGCAAGCGUUAUCCGGAAUGAUUGGGCGUAAAGCGUCCGCAGGUGGCAGUUCAAGUCUGCUGUCAAAGACCGGGGCUUAACUUCGGAAAGGCAGUGGAAACUGAACAGCUAGAGUAUGGUAGGGGCAGAGGGAAUUCCUGGUGUAGCGGUGAAAUGCGUAGAUAUCAAGAGGAACACCUGAGGUGAAGACGGGUUGCUGGGCCAACACUGACGCUGAUGCGCGAAAGCCAGGGGAGCAAACGGG
rnacentral:rRNA from 1 species